GGGCGAAUAGCUCAGCGGUAGAGCAACCGGCUGCAGUCCGGUAGGUCAUGAGUUCAAUCCUCAUUUCGCCCU